UCGACCGCCUGGGGAGUACGGCCGCAAGGUUAAAACUCAAAUGAAUUGACGGGGGCCCGCACAAGCGGUGGAGCAUGUGGUUUAAUUCGAUGCAACGCGAAGAACCUUACCUGGUCUUGACAUCCACGGAAGUUUUCAGAGAUGAGAAUGUGCCUUCGGGAACCGUGAGACAGGUGCUGCAUGGCUGUCGUCAGCUCGUGUUGUGAAAUGUUGGGUUAAGUCCCGCAACGAGCGCAACCCUUAUCCUUUGUUGCCAGCGGUCCGGCCGGGAACUCAAAGGAGACUGCCAGUGAUAAACUGGAGGAAGGUGGGGAUGACGUCAAGUCAUCAUGGCCCUUACGACCAGGGCUACACACGUGCUACAAUGGCGCAUACAAAGAGAAGCGACCUCGCGAGAGCAAGCGGACCUCAUAAAGUGCGUCGUAGUCCGGAUUGGAGUCUGCAACUCGACUCCAUGAAGUCGGAAUCGCUAGUAAUCGUGGAUCAGAAUGCCACGGUGAAUACGUUCCCGGGCCUUGUACACACCGCCCGUCACACCAUGGGAGUGGGUUGCAAAAGAAGUAGGUAGCUUAACCUUCGGGAGGGCGCUUACCACUUUGUGAUUCAUGACUGGGGUGAAGUCGUAACAAGGUAACCGUAGGGGAACCUGCGGUUGGAUCACCUCCUUA
rnacentral:rRNA from 1 species